CACAGCCUUUAGGAUCUGGCCUGUCUGCCCAGAUGAGCUGGGGGCUGAGUUUGCUGGAGUAUGGUAGAGAGGAAAAAACAUCAGGAAGAACUGAAUGGUACAUGCUGUGAAUCCUGAUCUAAGUGGGGUCCAUGAAGGCUUUCCUGGAGAAGUGACAUUAAAACUGAAACCUCAAGGAUGAAAAGGAGUUAAGUGAUAUAAAAGAAGAAAAAAAAAUUCCAAGAAGGAAGAAUAUCAUCUACAAUGGUUGUGAGUCAGGAAAGGACAUGUUGUUUGAGAUUGACUGAAGACCUCAGCUGUAACAAAAAACAAACUCAGAGAGGGCAGAGAAAGACAACUGAGACCUCGCCAUACAAUGCCUUGGUACUGUGUAAGGCACCAGAAGCAUAAAGAAGAAUGAAUAAGCUGACGCAUCUUGAGGAGUUCACCGUCAAGCUAAUUUUCGUGGCUUUUCCUUAAGACUGCCAGAGGCGAGCUCGUUCCAGCUGUGCUCCUUGGUGGUCAGAGAACCUUAUGAUACAAACACAUGGAAGCACUGGUACCUGCUGGAGCAAUCAUGGAGCAGAUACCAUGGGCAAGGCUUGAAACUUACAGGUUAGAGGCAGAGCAAAAGCCAGAAGAGGAGAGAAUCUCUGUCCUGAUAUUUUCCAGCCACUUGCUCCAGCUUCCUCACAUUAGGGUGUGACUCCAAGGUCAUUUCACCAGGCUGACUCUUGAUCACUGGGUUGCCAAUGGAUGGGGAAUCCAGCCCAGAGUGCCAGAACAGAAGCAAGACAAGCCUCCACAACAAAAACAAAAUAUACAAAUGGGACUUCAUUAAACUAAGAAGUUUCUGCACAGCAAAAUAAAUAGUUCACAGAGUAAACAGAAAAUCUACAGCAUAGAAGAAAAUACUUGCAAAUUAUACCUUCAACAAAUGACUCAUCCAGAAUUUACAAGGAACUCAAUGAGAAACAAACGAAUCCCAUUAAAACCUGGGCAAAGAACAUGAACAGACACUUCUCAAAAGAAAAAAUACAAGCAACCAACUAACAUAUGAAAAAAUAGAAUUUAUUUACGUUUACAGGUCUCUCCCUCUUCCCCAUGUCUCCUCCACUAAUCCCAUCUCCUGCCUGUGCCAUUUUACAGACACUGAACAUCCAAAUAUUUACACAAUAGGAAGAAACAGGAGACAUUUUUAUACUUGCUGUGUUUUUGCCACCCUAGCAAUGAUUCUCCCCAUGACCCACACUCAUGACAUUAGCACAGGAACUCCCUCAGUAAUAAGUGCCUGAGGGUUUGAUUAGCUCAAAGAAUGUUUGAAACUUACGUGUACUUCAGUAAACACAACUUCAUUGAAGGCUUCCUUUUACUUGGUAAGACCAGGCAUAGGUAAGAAUAAGAUAAUGAGAUUGAUUUGGAGAAAAAAGUUCUUCAGAAAAUCCUCAAAGGGAAUGAUUCUGAGAGAAUCAGCAAUUUGUCCAAGGCCACAUAAAUGGUGAGCAUCAGGACUAAAACUCAGGCCCCCAGAUUCCCAAAUGAGUACACUUUAACACAUGCCAGUGACCCUCAAAUUCUGAUGUGCAAAAGAAUUAUCAACAGUGAUAGUGAGACCCCAUCUCCACACAAAAAAUUAAAAUUUAUUCAGGCGUGGUGUUGUGCAACUGUAGUCCCAGCUGCUCAGGAGUCUGAGGCAGGAGGAUUGCUUGAGCUCAGGAGUUCAAGGCUAAAGUGGGCUAUGAUUGUGACACUGCACCUCAACCUGGGUGAUAAAGCAAGACCUUGUCUCAAAAAGAAAAAAUACCAAUGGGGCUCUCUAAAACCUGCAAGCUUCUUUGACUCAUCCUCAGAGAAUCCUGUUUGGGAGAGUGGGACCUGGGAAUCUGUACUGCUACUGAGCUCCCAGUGAUUAGAGCAACACUCUGGGGAAGUGAAAAGGGCAUCUGGUUGCUGAAGAGGGCAUCGAUUUUGCUCCUGGUAUUUAUAGACAUUUUCAUUCUAUCCUUGGUUAUUCUCUCACAUUUUCCCCUUCAGCAACAGUCUCAUAAUUAAGAUUAACUUAGCAACAAGUAGAAAUCAUGUUUAAACCAGAGACAUGAUAAACUCUAUGUAGUAUUUUGGGUUAGGGUAAGUAUGGAAAAGUCAGUCUCCCUCCUAAUAAGAUGGCAUGUCUUUCAAAGAAUUACACAAGCAUUGCCUAAAUAUAUGCCCAUUUAAAAAUUUAAAUAUUAAACAGUGCAGAAGAAGAUAAAUGAAAAGUGAAUUUUCCCUUCACCCCUCCCCUAAUCUCGCCCUCUACCCAGAGUUACUCCUGCUAACCAAUGGUUAUGGACCCUUCAGUAUUUUCUAUACAAUGACAUACACAAGCAUCUGUGGCCUUUUUGCCCUUUUGCUUUUGAAAAGUUAUGUUUAUAAAAGGAUCAAGGCAUUUUUUUAUGAUAUAGGUGACAGAAGAUGAUCUCACCACCACAGUAUCAAACUUAAAUUAAGGGCACUUCAAGAUGCAUGAUUAUUACUGGUAAUUGCAGCAUCAACUUUUGACGUUUUUAGAAAUGAAGACUUCCUGGACCUUACUCACCUCCUCAGAUACAUGUUGGUCAGUAAGUGAUAUUCAUCAGUCAUAUAAAAAAAUACCUGUGAGGAUGCUAAAGGAAGAGGAAAAGGCUGGCAGUCACAUCGUGUAAACUUGUGAACACUCUUAUAGUCCUCACUUGAGCGCAAGGUUCUAAAUUAAUUCACCUCAUUGCAAGUUCUGCAGGACUGAGAAUGUUUCCAUGAGAAGGGUUGGAUGGGGUGGGGCUGAGGGUACAAUGGGGGAUGUUUCUAUGCAUUCAUAUAAAAUGUACAGCAUUCACUCUGCUUUCUCACCCUCAGCAUUCCACUGAAAUGGCUCUUGCAAAGAUUACCAAGAAAUCCUAGUUGCUAAACUUUAUCUUCUUGACUUUGGUGGCACUUGCUGAUUGACCGUUUCUUCCUUCUGCAAAGUUUCUUCCUCCCUUCCUUCUCCUGUGGUUCUGAUGAAACUGAGUAUUCAAUCUCUGUUUUACAGAUUUCUCUUUAAUAUUCACAUCUCUCAGGGUUCCAUCCUGGAAACCUAGGAUGCUUUUAUGCUUGUUUUGUAUCCUCUAUCUAACAGAGCUGAUAAAAUCCUAUACUCUCAGCAAUGACAUCCAAAUCUGCAUCAACAGCCCCAUUUUUGCAUUGAGCUCAAGGCCCCCCCUUCUGCAUAACCACCAGCAUCUCAAACAUGGCAUGUCUAACAGGAAAUGGAAGUCUUCCUCCUCACUUUCUCACCAACCUUGCUCCUGCCACCCCAUGUAUUACUCAUAUCAGUUAAGGAUAAACCAGCGUAUCAGUUCUUCACAUUAGAAAUGGCAUUGCCAUUCCUCACUCCUCCUCUUACCUUUUCUUUGCAUCAGUCAAUCAUCAACUCCUAUGAAGUCCACCUCUAAAAUAUUUAUUUACUCUUUCACUUCCUCUCUCCUCCCAUUGCUAAUACCCUGGUCCUUGUCAUUGUCACUUGGAGCAAAGGAUGCCCUAGAAGGCAUCCCUAUGUGGAAUCUCUGUCCACUUCCAAUCCCAAACAUUUUGCACCAAAAUGCCAGAAGCUUCCUCAAAUGCCAGAAUCUUUCUCAUAUAUGCUUUUGACCAUCCAUUUCCUUCAGCCAGAGUGUUCUCUGCCAAAAAAAGUCCUUCAGAAUGUAAAGUAAAUACUUUCUCUUCUAUAAAUCUAUGCCUGGCAUCAUCUCUCCACACCUCCUCAUAAGCAGUGAGACCUUCCUCUGUGCUUCCACUGUGCAUCUACCUCUAUCAGGACGCAUUCUAACCUCAUCUGGCCAACAUGUUAGUAAGUGCCCAUAACAAUAUAUUGUGAUAACACACAUCAUUUCAAAACUCUACUCACUCUAGCAAACCUACUAAACUGAGAACUCUGGUGUUACAAAGACACAUUUUGAACCCUAGUACCAGAUCUAAACCCUAUCCUCCAAAAUCUGUUCAUUUGUUCUUUCACUUAUUUAUAUAUCCAGUAACUAUCAAGUACCUACUGUGUGCUAGACAUGGCUCUAGGUGUUAGGGAUAGAGCAGUGAGCAAGAGAGAUAAAAACCCUGACCUCCUACUGCUUACAUUCUAGUGAUAAAAACAAAUAGACAAAUAUAUAACUAGAAUAUAUCAUAUUCCAGGCAGCAACGGGUGUUAGGGAGGAAUAUCAAGUAGAAAAGGGAAUCGUGUUGGGAUAUGGUUAAGGGUGGGGUUUUUCAAAAUAAAGCAGUCAAGAAAGAGCUUAAGAUAUCAUAAUUCUAGUUUGUACUCUAGGGACAGCUUCCUAUAAAAUCCAGGGAAAGCAGGACACUGAGCCUAUGUUUCAGUCCCUUACAAAAAACAGUGGGGUGAAUAAAUGGUAUAUAAUGGUUUGGAACCCAAAAUGCCCUUCAUCUUGCCACCAUUUCCCGUGGAUUCAUGAGAAGUAUGAAUAGACAGAACUGUUUUCAACAACAGAAUACAGUUAUGGGUCAUAUGUCUCUUGGGAAAACUUUGGACUUUAUAAUGAAGAGAAACCUUGCAGCCUUAGGGCCUUAUGGGGAACUUCAGAGACGUUAUGUUAGUGAGAGAGUGUGGUGUCCAGAAAGAGACCAAGACACCAAGCUAAUGUGAGUGGGAUCACCAGAAGAACCAAUCCUACAGUCCUGACUAAUGUUAAGUGGUAGAAUCUGACGAAAGCAACAGUAGUACCCAGUACAGCUGGCAAAGCCCAGCAGACACCACAGUUUCUACUGGAAAAAGCCUGGAACAAAAGAGGGAAGAAAUGGUAAAUGCCCACAGGAAGCAAUGAAUAAAGUUGGCACAUAAGCACAUGUGAGAUACCUCUUGGGUUUCCAGAGAAUUUUUAGAAGGGUGCUUUAGAGAGAUUUUGUAUCCUUUAUCAUUAGGAAGUGGAGGUGGUGUGGAACCAAUCAAAGCAUGUUAUCAAAAACAAGCUUGGACCUGAACACUCCAGUCAGGCUGAAGAAGGCUUGGUAGCCUGAAAAAGCAGAAGUAGCCCAGUUCUGGAACAAGAAAAUAAAUGGGUAAUAGUCUUAGGGAGGGUGUCUCUUAAAUUAAUAUUUUUAUUUUUUAUUUAUUUAUCUCUUUCUUCUCUACACAGGAGACAUGGGGCCUACUUACAAACUAGAUCCAAUUCCAUGAAAUCCAAUGUUUUUACAUAAUUAAUUUUAUGUAUACUAGUUUUUCAAAUGUGCCAACAAUUUUUAUGGUGUCAGGCUGACAUGUAGCUUUAGAAAACAUUAUUUCCAGAAUUAUACACAUGACAUUGCAUUACAACAAACAAAAGUCAUUUUUAAAUAGGAAUAUUCUAAUGAAGAAGUGUUUUGUUUCAUUCUCUAACAAAAUUUAGAUCCUUUAAAUACCAUAUUCAGCUAUUUCAUUGACAUUCUGGUGGGCUUUCCUGGGUUUCUCUUACCUAAUAAUAAAUUAUCAGGGAUUAUUAAAACAAGUAUCAUUACUCAAGCUGUAUCCGAAGGUCAGACUUAUAUAGAAAUUGAUUGGCAUCCUAGGGACAGUUAUUUUGAAGAGAUUUAUUUAGUAAGUGAUGAAAGCUACAGUCAUCAUGUAAUUUUGAAUUUUUUUUACCAUUAUUUAGAACUUAAAUUUAUUUCUGGAAAUAAAAUGAUAUAAAGCAAGAGUUGUAUGACAAAUUCACAAAUGUAAACACUGACACUUCCUAUUCUAUCAUACUAGACUGUGAACUAAAUAAUAUCCUUGCAAUAGUAUAUUAUAAUUAUAAAUGAUAUCAUGUGGAAUGAUAGAUUGCUCCAAAGAAGGCAGAACAUUUAUGGGGGGCAGGGAAGUGAGAGAGAGAGAAAGAGAGAGAGAGAGAGACAGAUCCUGCUAACAAAAUUUAGAUCCUUUAAAUACCAUAUUCAACUAUUUCAUUGACAUUCUGGUGGGCUUCCCUGGGUUUCUCUUACCUAAUAAUAAAUUAUCAGGGAUUAUUAAAACAAGUAUCAUUACUCAAGCUGUAUCCAAUCCUGCUACAUUCUAUUUGUUCAAGCAUUCACAAAGGUCCUUCAAGUUUUAAAAACUGUGUCUAGAGGAGCGAUAAACUACCUCUUGGUUGGAAAGUUACAAGGGUCUGUUGGACUGGGAAUAUUGUUAUAGCCAUUUUUGGAAAAUACUAUCCACAACAAUGAGAUCUCUUAAUUAACGUACUUGAGAUUACUUUGAACUCACAGUACAACUGCAAAUAAUUUAUUUUAGCCUAUUUAAAUGUUUCUAAAAAUGAAGUUGAAUGUAGAAAUAAAAUUGUAGGUUAAUCUGAAAGAGAAACUUAGUCAAGUGCAUUUUUAAAAGGAAAGAUUUCAGCAUGAUGAAAAUUUACUAUUUUGGUUAUUCAUUUGGCCACAUCUAAUUGGUCAAUAAAUAAAACCUAUACUUUUGGUUGUAAAUAUGUGGGUGAAUAACAGGUAGCUAUAACCAUACCUGCCUUGCUGUCUCUCCAACACUCUAACAUAUAUGUUUAGUGUACGUAUGCAUUUAUAUAUACUCAAAUAUGUACACACAUAUGUGUAUAUUGUCCUUUUAAGCUAAUUCAGGAAUGCCAUUUUUAAUAAAUAAAUGCAUUUUAUUAGAAAUUAGAUCAUGGUUAAUUUAUACAGAGUGAAAAUUUUGAAGAAGUUGCACUAGAUUCUAGAUUUAAAGAAACUAUGCUCUUUGCAAUUAAAGUCACUUCUAUAGGAUGAAUUGUGUCCCCUCAUCCAGAUUCAUGUCUUUAAACCCUAACACCCAGUAACUCAGAACGUGGCUGUAUUUGGAGAUAGGGCAUGAGGUAAUGAGUUAAAAUGAGGUCACUGAGGAAGACUUUAUUCCAUUCUGACUGGUUUUCUUAUAAGAAGUGGAAAUUUAGAUACACAGAGAGCCACCAGCUGUGCACAGACACACUGUGAUGAGGCAGCAAGAGGAUGGCCAUCUACAAACCAAGGAAGACAAAACCACUCUGCUGGCACUUUGAUCUUGGACUACCAUCCUCCAGAAUGUGAGAAAAUAAAUUUCUGUUACUUAAGCCACUGAGUCUGCAUUACUUUGUUACAGAAGCCCUAGCAAAUUUAGAAUACAAUCAUUCACUUUACUAUUUGAAUGCAUGAAUGAGGCCUAGCAUGGUAGCUUUCACCUGUAAUCUCAGCACUUUGGGAGGCUGAGGCAGGCAGGUCAUUUAAGUCCAGGAGCUUG